rnacentral:rRNA from 1 species
AUUGAACGCUGGCGGCAGGCCUAACACAUGCAAGUCGAACGAGCGGCGGACGGGUGAGUAAUGUAUGGGGAACUGCCCGAUAGAGGGGGAUAACUACUGGAAACGGUCGCUAAUACCGCAUACUAUCGGAUGUACCCAUAUGGGAUUAGCUAGUAGGUGGGGUAAAGGCUCACGUAGGCGACGAUCUCCAUCUGGUCUGAGAGGAUGACCAGCCAACCUGGGACUGAGACACGGCCCAGCAUCCUACGGGAGGCAGCAGUGGGGAAUAGUGCACAAGGGGCGCAAGUCUUAUGCAGCCAUGCCGCGUGUAUGAAGAAGGCCUUAGGGUUGUAAAGUACUUUCAGCGGGGAGGCGUUACCCGCAGAAGAAGCACCGGCUAACUCCGUGCCAGCAGCCGCGGUAAUUC